rnacentral:rRNA from 1 species
CCUACGUGCGGCAGCAGUGAGGAAUAUUGGUCAAUGGGCUUACGCCUGAACCAGCCAAGUCGCGUGAGGGAAGACUGCCCUAUGGGUUGUAAACCUCUUUUGUCAGGGAGCAACGCCGGCUACGUGUAGCCGGACUGAGAGUACCUGAAGAAAAAGCAUCGGCUAACUCCGUGCCAGCAGCCGCGGUAAUACGGAGGAUGCGAGCGUUAUCCGGAUUUAUUGGGUUUAAAGGGUGCGUCGGCGGAAUGACAAGUCAGCGGUAAAAUCGCGGGGCUCAACCUCGCUCAGCCGUUGAAACUGGCGUUCUUGAGUGGGCGAGAAGUAUGCGGAAUGCGUGGUGUAGCGGUGAAAUGCAUAGAUAUCACGCAGAACUCCGAUUGCGAAGGCAGCAUACCGGCGCCCAACUGACGCUGAAGCACGAAAGCGUGGGUAUCGAACAGGAUUAGAUACCCGAGUAGUC